GUACCGUCCAAACGUUAUUCGGAAUUACUGGGCUUAAAGGGUAUGUAGGCGGCGCUGUUAGUCGGGUGUGAAAUCCCUCGGCUCAACCGAGGAAUUGCGCCCGAUACUGCAGUGCUUGAGGGAGACAGAGGUAAGCGGAACUGAUGGUGGAGCGGUGAAAUGCGUUGAUAUCAUCAGGAACACCGGUGGCGAAAGCGGCUUACUGGGUCUCUUCUGACGCUGAGAUACGAAAGCCAGGGGAGCGAAGGGGAUUAGAUACCCCCGUAGUCCUGGCCGUAAACGUUGAGCACUUGAUCGAGGGCCCCCCCAUAGGCUCUCGGUCGUAGCGAAAGUGUUAAGUGCUCCGCCUGGGGAGUAUGGUCGCAAGG
rnacentral:rRNA from 1 species